GUGAGGAAUAUUGGACAAUGGGCGCAAGCCUGAUCCAGCCAUGCUGCGUGCAGGAAGACGCAUCUAUGGUGUGUAAACUGCUUUUGUACGGGAAGAAACACUCCCUCGUGAGGGAGCUUGACGGUACCGUAAGAAUAAGGAUCGGCUAACUCCGUGCCAGCAGCCGCGGUAAUACGGAGGAUCCAAGCGUUAUCCGGAAUCAUUGGGUUUAAAGGGUCCGUAGGCGGUUUAAUAAGUCAGUGGUGAAAGCCCAUCGCUCAACGAUGGAACGGCCAUUGAUACUGUUAGACUUGAAUUACAAGGAAGUAACUAGAAUAUGUAGUGUAGCGGUGAAAUGCUUAGAUAUUACAUGGAAUACCAAUUGCGAAGGCAGGUUACUACUUGUGGAUUGACGCUGAUGGACGAAAGCGUGGGGAGCGAACAGGAUUAGAUACCCUAGUAGUCC
rnacentral:rRNA from 1 species